rnacentral:misc_RNA from 1 species
CCUGCCCAAUUUCGCACGUGCCUGUGGCCGCGUGCCGGUUGGUGGGCAUCCGGUCAACUGCCGGACAGCCGCCAGGGGUCUUAAAGGAUCGAUGGUCGCAAGGGUGGAUCCCUACGGCCGGCAUCCAGGUGGCAACACCGGACCCCGACAACAACCGGCAGCCGGAGGCGAAACCGGCGAACCCCGCUCUCCACGGGGGACGCAGCUUAAAGCAACGACGAACGGGCUUUUUUGGUCUCGUCGGCCCUCCAAAGGCCGGCACCGAAGAGGCUUGUUUCUCUUUGCCCGGCGUGCGGUGGGGGUCAUCCCUUCCAAUCCACGGCAGCUUCCGGGUGCUCUGCGCCCGCCUGGAUCGACGCGUCUCCAAAGCGCGUGGGU